rnacentral:piRNA from 1 species
UGAAAUGGCCCUCUGUAGGGAAAUGG